rnacentral:rRNA from 1 species
UGAGUACGAGAUGCUACGGCAUCGAAGCAGUCUAUGUCAUACUUCCAAGAAAAGCUUGCACUGUCAUAAACAAAGAAUGCCUGUACCAUAACCGACACAGGUGGGUAGGUAGAGUAUACUAAGGGGCGCGAGAUAACUCUCUCUAAGGAACUCGGCAAAAUGACUCCGUAACUUCGGGAGAAGGAGUGCCUUAUUUCUAAGGUUGCAAUAACAAGAUCCAAGCAACUGUUUACCAAAAACACAGGUCUCCGCUAAGUCGUAAGACGAUGUAUGGGGGCUGACGCCUGCCCAGUGCCAGAAGGUUAAAGAAGUUGGUUAGCAUUAGCGAAGCUGAUAACUGAAGCCCUGGUGAACGGCGGCCGUAACAAUAACGGUCCUAAGGUAGCGAAAUUCCUUGUCGGGUAAGUUCCGACCCGCACGAAAGGCGUAAUGAUUUGGAUACUGUCUCGGAGAGGGGCUCGGUGAAAUAGACUUGUCUGUGAAGAUGCGGACUACCUGCACCUGGACAGAAAGACCCUAUGAAGCUUUACUGUAACUUGAGAUUGAAAUUGGACUUUAUUUGCGCAGUAUAGGUGGGAGGCGUUGAGAAUAAUCUUGCGGGAUUGUUGGAGCCAUCAGUGAGAUACCACUCUUGUAAUGUUAGAUUUCUAACUUUGUAUCAUUAUCUGGUCAAAGAACAGUUUCAGGCGGGCAGUUUGACUGGGGCGGUCGCCUCCCAAAGGGUAACGGAGGCGCACAAAGGUUUCCUCUGAACGGGUAGAAAUCGUAUCUAGAGUGUAAAGGCAUAAGGAAGCUUGACUGUGAGACCUACAAGUCGAGCAGGGACGAAAGUCGGUCUUAGUGAUCUGACGGUGCUGAGUGGAAAGGCCGUCACUCAACGGAUAAAAGUUACUCUAAGGAUAACAGGCUGAUCUCCCCCAAGAGUUCACAUCGACGGGGAGGUUUGGCACCUCGAUGUCGGCUCAUCGCAUCCUGGGGCGGUAGUCCGUCCCAAGGGUUGGGCUGUUCGCCCAUGAAAGCGGUACGCGAGCUGGGUUCAGAACGUCGUGAGGCAGUUCGGUCCAUAUCCGGUGUAGGUUUAGAAUAUUGAGAGGAGCCUUCUCUAGUACGAGAGGACCGAGAAGGACAUACCUCUGGUGUACCAGUUAUCGUGCCAACGGUAAACGCUGGGUAGCUAUGUAUGGAGUGGAUAACCGCUGAAAGCAUCUAAGUGGGAAGCCCACCUCAAGAUAAGUAUUCUCA